GAUGAACGCUGGCGGCGUGCCUAAUACAUGCAAGUCGAGCGAACAGAUGAGGAGCUUGCUCCUCUGACGUUAGCGGCGGACGGGUGAGUAACACGUGGAUAACCUACCUAUAAGACUGGGAUAACUUCGGGAAACCGGAGCUAAUACCGGAUAAUAUAUUGAACCGCAUGGUUCAAUAGUGAAAGACGGUUUUGCUGUCACUUAUAGAUGGAUCCGCGCCGCAUUAGCUAGUUGGUAAGGUAACGGCUUACCAAGGCAACGAUGCGUAGCCGACCUGAGAGGGGGUUCGCCCCCCUGGGAACUGGGACCCGGCCCAAACCCCUCGGGGGGGAACCAGAGGGGAAUCUCCCCAAAUGGGCGAAAGCCUGCGGGGACAACCCCGGGGGGGUGAUGAAGGUCUUCGGAUCGUAAAACUCUUUUUUUAGGAAAAAAAAAAUGUGUAAGUAAUUAUGCCCGUUUGGCCGGGACCUAACCAAAAAGCCCCGGCUAAAUCCGG
rnacentral:rRNA from 1 species